CACUAUAAAUAGAGAGGCUCUGUUGCACAAACUUGCUGAAUAUAACAUAAAUGGACCAUUCUUUAAUAUUCUAAAAGAUAUGUACAAAGAAGUUUUAUUUGCAGUUAAAGUCACUGAAGGCAUUACUAAUAUGUUCCCUUCCACAGUUGGAGUAAAACAAGGCUGCAUUCUAAGUCCUACUUUAUUUUCUUUUUAUAUAAAUGAUUUAACCUCAAUGUUUGAUAACACAUGUGAUCCUGUAACAUUACAUGACAUAAAAUUGUCUAGUCUUUUAUAUGCUGAUGACUUAGUAUUAAUAUCAGAAUCCUCAGAAGGUUUACAAAAUUGUCUAAACAAGUUAAAUACUUAUUGUGAAAAAUGGAACUUGACUGUCAAUCUUGACAAGACAAAAACAAUGAUAUUUAAUAAAAGUGGUAAAAAACUUACUAAAGACAAGUUUGUAUUGAAUAAUGAAGUAAUUGAAUGUUGCACAGAAUAUAAAUAUUUAGGUAUACUAUUCAAGCCAUCAGGAAUUUUCACUAAUGCAGUAAAUCUCCUAUGUAAAAAAGCUUCUAAGGCAUUGUUUUGUAUAAAAAAAAUACUCUACUCAGAUAAGAUGGAUGUUUUUUUCCCAUAUGAAACUAUUUAAUUCUUGUGUUAGCCCAAUAUUACUGUAUUGUAGUGAGAUAUGGUCGCUAAAUAUUGUGAAGAACAACAAAACUCUUGAAUCUCAAUAUUUAUCUAUGGAAUCAGUAAAACUCCAAAUAAAAUUUGCGAAAGGUCUUCUAAAUGUUAAUUCAAAGGCAGUAAAUACAGCUGUAUUAGCUGAAUUGGGAAUGUACCCUAUUGGUAUACAGGCCCUUAAGUCUUCUGUAGGAUUUUGGUUACAUAUUUUAAAGUCAAAUGAAAAUGAGUCAUUAUUAUAUAAUGUUUAUAAAGCUAACAAGCAGUUAAAUGAUGGAUUUGCUUCAAAAGUUAAAAUGCUACUUUCAAAAUUGAAUUUCACUCAUGUUUGGGAAAAUCAAUGUACCUUCUCUAAAAAAAAGAUUACUUUUAGCCAUCGUGAAGAAGCUCAAUGAAAAUUACAUUAUAUUUUGGAGAAAUUGUCUCUUUAAUGAUGAUAAUUCAAUAAAUGGAAAUAAACUAAAAACCUACAGAAAAUUUAAAGUAAAGUAUGAACUAGAAAAGUACCUUUUAUUGAAUUUAGAUAAAAAUGUUACAAAAAAUUAUGCUAAAAUAAGAAUAAGUAAUAGUAUGCUGGCUGUUGAACGUGGUAGAUACAACAAAACAGCUUUAGAAAAUAGAAUAUGUCCUUUAUGCCAUAAAGAGGUGGAAGAUGAAUUUCAUUUUAUCAUAACAUGUUCAGAAAUUAAUAAAACUAGGAUCAAAAUGUUUGAUGAAAUAUCUAGUAUUGUCCCCGGUUUUAAUUCAAUGAGUGAAGAAAACAAAUUUGAUUUUAUAUUUUCCUGCGAAG
rnacentral:lncRNA from 1 species